UACGGAGGGUGCGAGCGUUGUUCGGAAUUACUGGGCGUAAAGCGCGUGUAGGUGGCCUCUUAUGUCAGGUGUGAAAGCCCUGGGCCUAACCGCGGAAGUGCGCUUGAUACUGGGAAGCUGGAGUACCGGAGAGGAGGGUGGAAUUCCUGGUGUAGCGGUGAAAUGCGUAGAUAUCAGGAGGAACACCGGUGGCGAAGGCGGCCCUCUGGACGGAUACUGACGCUGAGACGCGACAGCGUGGGGAGCAAACAGG
rnacentral:rRNA from 1 species